rnacentral:rRNA from 1 species
GACGAACGCUGGCGGCGUGCUUAACACAUGCAAGUCGAGCGGUAAGGCCCUUUCGGGGUACGACGAGCGGCGAACGGGUAGAGUAACACGUGGGUGGACCUCGCCCUCCAGCUCUGGGAGUAAGACCUCGGGAAACCGGGUACGUAAUACUGGAUAUGACUCCAUGACGCAUGUUGUGGGGUGGAAAGACCUUGUGCGGCUGAGGAUGGGCCCGCGGCCUAUCAGCUUGUUGGUGGGGUGANGGCCUACCAAGGCGACGACGGGUAGCCGG